rnacentral:lncRNA from 1 species
UUUUUUUUUUUUUUUCGAAUUAGGAUAACUAAAUUGCAGCAGUAGUAAGGUAGGAAACCAGAACCUGUUGCAAUUCACGGGGAGAUCAAAGGAUGAUCUGCGGUGGUGGAGAUGACGGUGGAAUUUGGCGACGAUCUUUUAAGCAAUUGUGGGAAUUGCUUUGGGCGGUUGUGGAGGGCUGAUGGAUGGCAGUGGAAGGGCAGCGAGAUGCCAAGAACACUGCUUUGAUACCAGGUGGUA